rnacentral:lncRNA from 1 species
UAGAGGUUCUUCCCAAAUUGAAGGGUCUCUUGCAAUUGCCCAAGCAUUCACUAUUACCUGUGUUCCAGCUGCAAUGUCAUAGCCAUCUAGUUUGAUAUCUUCCAUAGAUUUCCGAGGGACUAAUAAUGGAAUCGGGGCGUGCAGGCGAAGAGUUUCUUUGAUCACAGCUUUCAAGUAGUUCAUGUUAACCAAAUCGUCUUCAGUUACCUGAGUUUUUUUUCCAACCACAGUUCUGACCUCAUCUUGCAAUUUAUGCAUCACAGUUUGGUGUCUUAACAAUUCUGUCAUUUCCCAUUCUAGGACUGUGUAGGUAGUGUCUGUACCUGCAGCAAACAUGUCCUACAUGCAGGGAAAAACGCUCAAUUUAAAUUACACUACCAUACCUCGCUUAUUCCACAAAUUGAAUGUUUCUAACAAUAUAUUAUUAAAUAUCUAAAAGAAACAAAUUUAUACACAAAAUACAUCUAAAUAAUAAAAGCGGAAAAAUGGACAUGUUAGAGUCUGCUAUAAAAUACAGUAUUAUGCAGAAAAGGGAAGACACC